rnacentral:rRNA from 1 species
CCUACGGGUGGCAGCAGUGAGGAAUAUUGGUCAAUGGGCGCGAGCCUGAACCAGCCAAGUCGCGUGAGGGAAGACGGUCCUAUGGAUUGUAAACCGCUUUUGUCCGGGAGCAAAAGACGCCACGCGUGUCGGUCCGAGAGUACCCGAAGAAAAAGCAUCGGCUAACUCCGUGCCAGCAGCCGCGGUAAUACGGAGGAUGCAAGCGUUAUCCGGAUUUAUUGGGUUUAAAGGGUGCGAAGGCGGCAGAUAAAGUUAGCGGUAAAAUUGCGGGGCUCAACCUUGAAGAGCCGUUGAUACUGGUUGUCUUGAGAGAAGGAGAAGUAUGCGGAAUGCGUGGUGUAGCGGUGAAAUGCAUAGAGAUCACGCAGAACACCGAUUGCGAAGGCAGCAUACC